GGAGAGUCCGCGCGCAUCGCCCCCCUCCGCGGCGCCAGCCCUGGCGUCCGUGCGUGGCCCCGCCAGGGAUGGGGCGACGCGGUCAGAGCCGCACGCGACCGAAAUCCGCACUCUGGAGCCGCAGAGCGCGCGGUCUUGCUGUUUAGCGGCUCCCUGGCAAGUGACGUGGGGAAGAAACGCAGGGCGCAGGAGAGACAGCUGGAAAGCGAGCUAGCCAGGCCCCGUUUUUUCAGCUUCUCCUUUGACUUGAUCCCUGAAGAUGGCUCUGCCUCUGGCCCGCUUGAAAUGUGUCGACUAGGUCAUGAUCACCGUGCAUUCUGCUCAGCGUAGUCUCCCCGCCUGAAAUGUUAUUAAUGCCAUCUAAAAUGACUACGGUUCUGUGGUCUACCGAACUGCCCAGGGAGGUGGGGGUUUCAGACUUUUGGCAUCUCAAGAAACUUGAGAUUACCGAGACCACGAUACCCUCAGAGACGUGACGAGGUGGGAUCAAGGCCACGGGGGACCAGAAUGCUGACCCAGGCAACCUGUGCCUGCUGCGCUGCCCUUUGUAAUACUCCUUAUCAUAUCAUGAGGAGGUAUUUUUCGUUCUCCACAAACUUGGUGGUGGAUGGAAGAGGAUAUCAAGCUCGCCUUGAGUGGGAUUGAGGUAGGAGGCGGGGCUCAGACACCAGACCAGAUUGAGGACAAACUAAAGCAAGGUCAGGGCCAAAGCAGCUUUCCAUCAGACAGGCCCACCAGGGUGCCACGUCAGUUUACCGUUGCCAUGGCAAUACCAGGGAGUUACCGCCCCUUUCCAUGGCAGUGACCCAAUAAUUACCACCCCUUCCCUACAGAUUUCUGCAUAAACCGCCCCUUAAUCUGCAUGCAAUGAAAAGUGGGCAUAUAUAUAUAUAUAUGACUGCAAAACUGCCCUGAGCUGCUCCUCUCUGCCUAUGGGCGAGCCCUGCUCUGCAGGAGCAGUCACGGAGCUGUAACCCUGCCUCUUCAGUAAAGCUGUUUUCUUCUA
rnacentral:antisense_RNA from 1 species